rnacentral:rRNA from 1 species
AGAGUUUGAUCCUGGCUCAGGACGAACGCUGGCGGCGUGCCUAACACAUGCAAGUCGACGGGCGGAGGAGCUUCGGCUCCCGAGCUAGUGGCGGACGGGUGAGUAACGCGUGAGGAACCUGCCUUUCAGAGGGGGACAACAGUUGGAAACGACUGCUAAUACCGCAUAACAUGUGCGGAUCGCAUGAUCUGCACAUCAAAGAUUUAUCGCUGAAAGAUGGCCUCGCGUCUGAUUAGAUAGUUGGUGGGGUAACGGCCCACCAAGUCGACGAUCAGUAGCCGGACUGAGAGGUUGAACGGCCACAUUGGGACUGAGAUACGGCCCAGACUCCUACGGGAGGCAGCAGUGGGGAAUAUUGGGCAAUGGGGGCAACCCCGACCCAGCAACGCCGCGUGAAGGAAGAAGGCUUUCGGGUUGUAAACUUCUUUUACCAGGGACGAAGGACGUGACGGUACCUGGAGAAAAAGCCACGGCUAACUACGUGCCAGCAGCCGCGGU